AGACCCGAAACCCGGUGAUCUAGCCAUGGGCAGGUUGAAGGUUGGGUAACACUAACUGGAGGACCGAACCGACUAAUGUUGAAAAAUUAGCGGAUGACCUGUGGCUGGGGGUGAAAGGCCAAUCAAACCGGGAGAUAGCUGGUUCUCCCCGAAAGCUAUUUAGGUAGCGCCUCGUGAAUUCAUCUCCGGGGGUAGAGCACUGUUUCGGCUAGGGGGCCAUCCCGGCUUACCAACCCGAUGCAAACUGCGAAUACCGGAGAAUGUUAUCACGGGAGACACACGGCGGGUGCUAACGUCCGUCGUGAAGAGGGAAACAACCCAGACCGCCAGCUAAGGUCCCAAAGUCAUGGUUAAGUGGGAAACGAUGUGGGAAGGCCCAGACAGCCAGGAUGUUGGCUUAGAAGCAGCCAUCAUUUAAAGAAAGCGUAAUAGCUCACUGGUCGAGUCGGCCUGCGCGGAAGAUGUAACGGGGCUAAACCAUGCACCGAAGCUGCGGCAGCGAACGUAUCACCCAAGACAACUUUACGGAGUUGACGAUUGACGGAGCGAAGCGACGUCAAAGCGUUCAUUAAAGUCGAGUUGGCUUAGGGAUACGUUCGUUGGGUAGGGGAGCGUUCUGUAAGCCUGUGAAGGUGGCCUGUGAGGGUUGCUGGAGGUAUCAGAAGUGCGAAUGCUGACAUAAGUAACGAUAAAGCGGGUGAAAAGCCCGCUCGCCGGAAGACCAAGGGUUCCUGUCCAACGUUAAUCGGGGCAGGGUGAGUCGACCCCUAAGGCGAGGCCGAAAGGCGUAGUCGAUGGGAAACGGGUUAAUAUUCCCGUACUUGGUGUUACUGCGAAGGGGGGACGGAGAAGGCUAUGUUGGCCGGGCGACGGUUGUCCCGGUUUAAGCGUGUAGGUGUGUGUUCCAGGUAAAUCCGGUUCACUUUAACACUGAGGCGUGAUGACGAGGCACUACGGUGCUGAAGCAACAAAUGCCCUGCUUCCAGGAAAAGCCUCUAAGCAUCAGGUAACAUCAAAUCGUACCCCAAACCGACACAGGUGGUCAGGUAGAGAAUACCAAGGCGCUUGAGAGAACUCGGGUGAAGGAACUAGGCAAAAUGGUGCCGUAACUUCGGGAGAAGGCACGCUGACACGUAGGUGAAGUGAUUUACUCAUGGAGCUGAAGUCAGUCGAAGAUACCAGCUGGCUGCAACUGUUUAUUAAAAACACAGCACUGUGCAAACACGAAAGUGGACGUAUACGGUGUGACGCCUGCCCGGUGCCGGAAGGUUAAUUGAUGGGGUCAGCGCAAGCGAAGCUCCUGAUCGAAGCCCCGGUAAACGGCGGCCGUAACUAUAACGGUCCUAAGGUAGCGAAAUUCCUUGUCGGGUAAGUUCCGACCUGCACGAAUGGCGUAAUGAUGGCCAGGCUGUCUCCACCCGAGACUCAGUGAAAUUGAACUCGCUGUGAAGAUGCAGUGUACCCGCGGCAAGACGGAAAGACCCCGUGAACCUUUACUAUAGCUUGACACUGAACAUUGAGCCUUGAUGUGUAGGAUAGGUGGGAGGCUUUGAAGUGUGGACGCCAGUCUGCAUGGAGCCGACCUUGAAAUACCACCCUUUAAUGUUUGAUGUUCUAACGUGGACCCGUAAUCCGGGUUGCGGACAGUGUCUGGUGGGUAGUUUGACUGGGGCGGUCUCCUCCUAAAGAGUAACGGAGGAGCACGAAGGUUGGCUAAUCCUGGUCGGACAUCAGGAGGUUAGUGCAAUGGCAUAAGCCAGCUUGACUGCGAGCGUGACGGCGCGAGCAGGUGCGAAAGCAGGUCAUAGUGAUCCGGUGGUUCUGAAUGGAAGGGCCAUCGCUCAACGGAUAAAAGGUACUCCGGGGAUAACAGGCUGAUACCGCCCAAGAGUUCAUAUCGACGGCGGUGUUUGGCACCUCGAUGUCGGCUCAUCACAUCCUGGGGCUGAAGUAGGUCCCAAGGGUAUGGCUGUUCGCCAUUUAAAGUGGUACGCGAGCUGGGUUUAGAACGUCGUGAGACAGUUCGGUCCCUAUCUGCCGUGGGCGCUGGAGAACUGAGGGGGGCUGCUCCUAGUACGAGAGGACCGGAGUGGACGCAUCACUGGUGUUCGGGUUGUCAUGCCAAUGGCACUGCCCGGUAGCUAAAUGCGGAAGAGAUAAGUGCUGAAAGCAUCUAAGCACGAAACUUGCCCCGA
rnacentral:rRNA from 1 species